rnacentral:rRNA from 2 species
UUAAGCGACUAAGCGUACACGGUGGAUGCCCUGGCAGUCAGAGGCGAUGAAGGACGUGCUAAUCUGCGAUAAGCGUCGGUGAGGUGAUAUGAACCGUUAUAACCGGCGAUUUCCGAAUGGGGAAACCCAGUGUGUUUCGACACACUAUCAUUAACUGAAUCCAUAGGUUAAUGAGGCGAACCGGGGGAACUGAAACAUCUAAGUACCCCGAGGAAAAGAAAUCAACCGAGAUUCCCCCAGUAGCGGCGAGCGAACGGGGAGGAGCCCAGAGCCUGAAUCAGUGUGUGUGUUAGUGGAAGCGUCUGGAAAGGCGUGCGAUACAGGGUGACAGCCCCGUACACAAAAAUGCACAUAUUGUGAGCUCGAUGAGUAGGGCGGGACACGUGGUAUCCUGUCUGAAUAUGGGGGGACCAUCCUCCAAGGCUAAAUACUCCUGACUGACCGAUAGUGAACCAGUACCGUGAGGGAAAGGCGAAAAGAACCCCGGCGAGGGGAGUGAAAAAGAACCUGAAACCGUGUACGUACAAGCAGUGGGAGCCUCUUAAUGGGGUGACUGCGUACCUUUUGUAUAAUGGGUCAGCGACUUAUAUUCUGUAGCAAGGUUAACCGAAUAGGGGAGCCGAAGGGAAACCGAGUCUUAACUGGGCGUUAAGUUGCAGGGUAUAGACCCGAAACCCGGUGAUCUAGCCAUGGGCAGGUUGAAGGUUGGGUAACACUAACUGGAGGACCGAACCGACUAAUGUUGAAAAAUUAGCGGAUGACUUGUGGCUGGGGGUGAAAGGCCAAUCAAACCGGGAGAUAGCUGGUUCUCCCCGAAAGCUAUUUAGGUAGCGCCUCGUGAAUUCAUCUCCGGGGGUAGAGCACUGUUUCGGCAAGGGGGUCAUCCCGACUUACCAACCCGAUGCAAACUGCGAAUACCGGAGAAUGUUAUCACGGGAGACACACGGCGGGUGCUAACGUCCGUCGUGAAGAGGGAAACAACCCAGACCGCCAGCUAAGGUCCCAAAGUCAUGGUUAAGUGGGAAACGAUGUGGGAAGGCCCAGACAGCCAGGAUGUUGGCUUAGAAGCAGCCAUCAUUUAAAGAAAGCGUAAUAGCUCACUGGUCGAGUCGGCCUGCGCGGAAGAUGUAACGGGGCUAAACCAUGCACCGAAGCUGCGGCAGCGACACUAUGUGUUGUUGGGUAGGGGAGCGUUCUGUAAGCCUGUGAAGGUGGCCUGUGAGGGUUGCUGGAGGUAUCAGAAGUGCGAAUGCUGACAUAAGUAACGAUAAAGCGGGUGAAAAGCCCGCUCGCCGGAAGACCAAGGGUUCCUGUCCAACGUUAAUCGGGGCAGGGUGAGUCGACCCCUAAGGCGAGGCCGAAAGGCGUAGUCGAUGGGAAACAGGUUAAUAUUCCUGUACUUGGUGUUACUGCGAAGGGGGGACGGAGAAGGCUAUGUUGGCCGGGCGACGGUUGUCCCGGUUUAAGCGUGUAGGCUGGUUUUCCAGGCAAAUCCGGAAAACCAAGGCUGAGGCGUGAUGACGAGGCACUACGGUGCUGAAGCGACAAAUGCCCUGCUUCCAGGAAAAGCCUCUAAGCAUCAGGUAACAUCAAAUCGUACCCCAAACCGACACAGGUGGUCAGGUAGAGAAUACCAAGGCGCUUGAGAGAACUCGGGUGAAGGAACUAGGCAAAAUGGUGCCGUAACUUCGGGAGAAGGCACGCUGAUAUGUAGGUGAAGCGACUUGCUCGUGGAGCUGAAAUCAGUCGAAGAUACCAGCUGGCUGCAACUGUUUAUUAAAAACACAGCACUGUGCAAACACGAAAGUGGACGUAUACGGUGUGACGCCUGCCCGGUGCCGGAAGGUUAAUUGAUGGGGUUAGCGGUAACGCGAAGCUCUUGAUCGAAGCCCCGGUAAACGGCGGCCGUAACUAUAACGGUCCUAAGGUAGCGAAAUUCCUUGUCGGGUAAGUUCCGACCUGCACGAAUGGCGUAAUGAUGGCCAGGCUGUCUCCACCCGAGACUCAGUGAAAUUGAACUCGCUGUGAAGAUGCAGUGUACCCGCGGCAAGACGGAAAGACCCCGUGAACCUUUACUAUAGCUUGACACUGAACAUUGAGCCUUGAUGUGUAGGAUAGGUGGGAGGCUUUGAAGUGUGGACGCCAGUCUGCAUGGAGCCGGCCUUGAAAUACCACCCUUUAAUGUUUGAUGUUCUAACGUUGGCCCGUAAUCCGGGUUGCGGACAGUGUCUGGUGGGUAGUUUGACUGGGGCGGUCUCCUCCUAAAGAGUAACGGAGGAGCACGAAGGUUGGCUAAUCCUGGUCGGACAUCAGGAGGUUAGUGCAAUGGCAUAAGCCAGCUUGACUGCGAGCGUGACGGCGCGAGCAGGUGCGAAAGCAGGUCAUAGUGAUCCGGUGGUUCUGAAUGGAAGGGCCAUCGCUCAACGGAUAAAAGGUACUCCGGGGAUAACAGGCUGAUACCGCCCAAGAGUUCAUAUCGACGGCGGUGUUUGGCACCUCGAUGUCGGCUCAUCACAUCCUGGGGCUGAAGUAGGUCCCAAGGGUAUGGCUGUUCGCCAUUUAAAGUGGUACGCGAGCUGGGUUUAGAACGUCGUGAGACAGUUCGGUCCCUAUCUGCCGUGGGCGCUGGAGAACUGAGGGGGGCUGCUCCUAGUACGAGAGGACCGGAGUGGACGCAUCACUGGUGUUCGGGUUGUCAUGCCAAUGGCACUGCCCGGUAGCUAAAUGCGGAAGAGAUAAGUGCUGAAAGCAUCUAAGCACGAAACUUGCCCCGAGAUGAGUUCUCCCUGAGACUUAGAGUCUCCUGAAGGAACGUUGAAGACGACGACGUUGAUAGGCCGGGUGUGUAAGCGCAGCGAUGCGUUGAGCUAACCGGUACUAAUGAACCGUGAGGCUUAACCUU